GUGCUCACUUUGGCAGCACGUAUACUAAAAUUGAAACAACACAGAGAAGAUUAGCAUGGCCCCUGCGUAAGGAUGACAUGCAAAUUCAUGAAGCAUUCCAUAUUUUU
rnacentral:snRNA from 1 species